rnacentral:rRNA from 1 species
UACGGGAGGCAGCAGUGGGGAAUAUUGCACAAUGGGCGAAAGCCUGAUGCAGCUAUGCCGCGUGUAUGAAGAAGGCCUUAGGGUUGUAAAGUACUUUCAUCGGGGAGGAAAAAACAAAACUAAUAAUUUUAUUUCUUGACGUUACCCGAAAAAGAAGCACCGGCUAACUCCGUGCCAGCAGCCGCGGUAAUACGGAGGGUGCUAGCGUUAAUCAGAAUUACUGGGCGUAAAGAGCACGUAGGUGGUUUUUUUAAAGUCAGAUGUGAAAUCCCUGGGCUUAACCUAGGAACUGCAUUUUGAAACUGAAAUACUAGAGUAUCGUAGAGGGAGGUAGAAUUCUAGGUGUAGCGGUGAAAUGCGUAGAUAUCUGGAGGAAUACCUGUGGCGAAAGCGGCCUCCUAAACGAAUACUGACACUGAGGUGCGAAAGCGUGGGGAGCGAAACAGGGAUUAGAUACC